GGUCCGUAGCUCAGUGGCUGAGCACUUGCCUUGCAUCCAGAAGUUCUCAGGUUCAAUCCCAGCCAGGACCG